CCUGCCGGCGACCGGCGCACGGGUGAGUAACACGUAUGCAACCUGCCCCUGUCAGGGGGACAACCCGCCGAAAGGCGGGCUAAACCCGCGUACAUGCCACCGGGGCAUCCCGGAGGCAGGAAAGGCUUCGGCCGGACAGGGAUGGGCAUGCGGCGCAUUAGGCAGUAGGCGGGGUAACGGCCCACCUAACCGACGAUGCGUAGGGGUUCUGAGAGGAAGGUCCCCCACACUGGUACUGAGACACGGACCAGACUCCUACGGAAGGCAGCAG
rnacentral:rRNA from 1 species